UGCAGGAUUCCGGAACGUGAUGUGGAUUUUGAGACUGGAGUUUGCAGAAGAGUUUUCAGAAACUCUAUAACAAAGGCUACAAGCUACAAGCUGAAUUUAGAGGAGUUCAACAUGAAGACAAGGGUAUGCUACACUAUGGAAGGAUUAGCAGAGAGCUAUCUAGAAUGCCUGGACUUGCCCCCAGUCCUGCUUUGUCACAGGAAACUGAGCAUACAGCAACUCCUCUCCACUGUGCCUGCACAGACUGAGAGGGAUCUUCAGAAAUCUCUCCAGUGGAUUUGGCCAACCCGUGUCCCUUCAAUUUUUUCACUGAAGCAGACUUAAGGUAUGGCUUUUAUUCCCAUUAAUAACAAAAGCCAGAUGCUAAAAAAGUAGAAUAAGUAGUCUCUUGGUGCAAUUUAGUAGACUAAGCCAUAGGGAAUUGCUUAAAAUGGAGCUUUUGUUUCUUAUUUAAGUCAAGACAGUCUAUUAUGUAUCCACUGUAGUUCAUAUAAGCAUUUGUGAAUGCUUUGAUUCAGAGGGUUGGUUGUUUUUUUUUUUUCCUGAGACUACUCUGUCUUAAGUAAAUCCUUUUUUUUUUUUCCUGAAAUAAACCACUAGAGCAUAUUGAUGUAAUGAAGUAUUGCUUUCAGUCUCUGAGAAUACCAUGCAAGUACUAUCUACCAUGGAGAAAACAUAUUAUGAUUAGAAAGCAUAUUUAUUCUUGACUCUGCCCAAACGGUUUCUUCGCACACUUGUAUAAUGAGGACUAGAGAACUAAACAUUCUACCUAGAAUUAAAACUGUGGAACAGUUAUCCUGGCCCUUAGGAAGGACUGAAUGUUUUCAAAUAAACUGACAGUUAACAAACAAAUGUUAGGACCACCUGCAGUGACUCGCACCUGCAGUCUCAGCAGCUGAGGUUUACCUUGUGGGGAAGGCUCCUCUGAAAAUAUAGCUACCUGCAUCCAGAGCCAAAUGUGAGCAAAAAGCAGAACCUACCUGUGUCAGGCUUCCUUGAGAUCCAUCACAAGUAGCUGGAUGUAGUCCCAGUGACAAUCAUUUGGUGUCCAACAGAAAGCAGUAAUUCAGCUCCUGUUUAGUGAUGUGCUCCAGGUCAAUGGCUUUGUCCUGCAAGUAAAAGGUAUAGGAGGUAACUUAUGCAGAAAAGACAUAACGCAAAAACCUACUGAGAUAAUAAAAAAUUUGCAUUUUCUCCAGCAGAGUCUGGUUAGACCUGGGAUGAACUCCCAUCUCAUACAGAGCUUGCACUGCAGGGCACAGUUAGCUUUGUCCAAGAUUUCACUGCCAGCUUGGCUCACUUAUUUUUGCUGUGUUUUGUUUUAAAUCCAAGCUAGAACUCUUACAAAGCUUUGACUGCAUGACUGCUUCUUCAGCUCUUUCACCACCAUCCUUUUGGUAAAGCUAAUUCUGUUUUCCUGGAAUUUUAAAAAAUGUUUUACCCAUCUAACCCCAAAGUAGCUGGUCAGCACUUUGCCCAAGUUCACUUUAACCUGAAGAGUCGAUGACCCAUGACUGACUUGGCAUUUACACUAUGCCCACUGCAGUUUGGUGUGUGCUGAAACUGAAAUCAGUGACAAUCCCUGAUUUGUGGCUUGAUAAUUCCUUUGUAAAGGUUCUACUUACAUUUACUUUACAGCAGUCCUUAUUGCAGACCAAUUUCAUCACAAACCAAAAAAGCAUUGGAUUUCUUUUUUCAUAGGCUAGACACUUAAUGAAUACAUCUGUUAUUUGGAAUUCAGAUGUUUGCAGAUAUAGGAGUUACAGCUUCAAGACAGAACAAGUUUUAGAAGAUACUGAAACCACCUUGUGCAGAUCCUGCCUUUAUAAAUACCCAAACACACACCACUCACUUGGACAAAGGCAAUAUAUCCAAAAGCAAAUUGAAUGAAUUGCACUGUCUGCUUUUAGGAAAAUAAUGUAUUUAUUCUUCAUAUGAAAUUGAGAUUUUCUCUCUGUCUUGUUAUGAAAUAUCAAUUUAAACUUUAUAACAUUCACAUAUUUACAUACGCAGACCUGUAUUGUUUGAAUAAAUGUGCACCUUUGCUGACAUGACUGUGGGCUGCAAUGCAGGCCAGAGGAGCCACGUUUAAAUUGCAGGAGGGGAAGAAAAAAAAAAAAAAAGCAAUAGA